rnacentral:rRNA from 1 species
UACGUAGGGACCAAGCGUUGUUCGGAUUUACUGGGCGUAAAGGGCGCGUAGGCGGCAUAUUAAGUCAGCUGUGAAAUCUCCGAGCUUAACUCGGAACUGUCAGCUGAUACUGAUGUGCUAGAGUGCAGAAGGGGCAAUCGGAAUUCUUGGUGUAGCGGUGAAAUGCGUAGAUAUCGGGAGGAACACCAGCGGCGAAGGCGGGCAUCUGGGCUAACACUGACGCUGAUGCGCGAAAGCUAGGGGAGCAAACAGG